AUGAAUUAAUCUUUUGAACAUCAAGUACGAUUUUCUAGACUUAGAAUGGAAAAUUUUUUUUUAGCGUUUUUGAUGUGGCAUGCCGGAUCCGGCCAUAACUUCUGGGCCGGGUUUGGGGUGUUACAUGGAAAUUCUAGUUAAAUAUUUUGCCAUCCUAUUUCCGGUUUUGUAUAUCAUAUGAAUCUUAUGGUUUGGGAGUGAUAAUUAUAUCUGUAUUGGUUUUUCCUUGUUUCUUUGAUUUUGUUCUUGUGUGCUUGACUGAUGAAGCUCCAACACGUAAGAAUCAAAAAUGAAAAUGGAAUGAAUUACAUAUGAAGAUGAAUGCUGCAGACUGUGGAUGUAUAUCUGAAAAACUAUUAAUAGAUUAUUUGUUUUGUUGGUUGUUGUGAGUGAAUAACUGUGGGUUUGAAAAGAUGGGGAGUUAUAAUAAUAAUGAUCUCACUCACUUUUCAUUGUCGUAAAAGGUGAUGGAAGCUUUUAUUAUUAUUAUUAACAAUGUUGAGUUUUAGGGCUCAUUUGGUGCCUUUUGAUGGGGUGUGCUGGUGGAUUUGUGUGUAUAUAUUUUGGUUAAAACUUUGAAGUUGAUGAUGUAAUUGGGUGCUUUCUUUUUGGAUACCGAAAUAUUGACGAAGCUAAAAUUAUAUAGUAUUGUGAUUUUGGGUUUUAAUAGAAAUCUAAAUUUCAAAGUUGAAAUGGUGCAUGGCAUUGUCAUGCUAAGAAUGCUUCUGUGAUUAUGAUAAUAGUGGAAUAGUGGAAUAGUGUAAUUGCGUAUAGUGUAAUAGUGUACUAGUGGAAUUUUUUGAUUGGGCAGUACAGACCAGCAAUAGGAAAAAGAGCCGAAGCUUUCAACUGCUUUAUCAGUUACCACUCGAGAUCUAAGAAAGAGAAAGAAAAACUACAAAUACUACUCAAAUACACAGAAAGGCUAGAUAAGCAGAAGCUCAAGAGCAAAGGGGAACUAGAUUGGACAAAGGAAAGGAGAAAGCAAACGAGUAGCCGAUUUGGAACCGUUCUACCCCAAACAAAGUCUCUCGAACUCGUAUUGUUUGCGUGAUCGGGACCGUCGUUGAAGUCAUCACACCGGCUGAAAUCUUGUGGUAUUGUCUUCGUUGUUGAAGAACAUUUGGCAUGUAUAGGCUAUUAUAUUUUGUCGAACUGUGGGUUGUAAACUUUAAGCCAUGUGAAAAUGGCCUAUGUGGUCGUCGAGUGGGAUGCUAGAACCUAUAGCCACGAGUCUUAGAAACUCUAAUUUUGAUAAGGUGGCCAUAAUUUGUGUCAUGUAUGAUGGAUGAUUAAGGCCAAGGAAAGAUUCAUGAAA